AUUGAACGCUGGCGGCAGGCCUAACACAUGCAAGUCGAACGAGUGGCGGACGGGUGAGUAAUGUCGGGGAAACUGCCCGAGGGAGGGGGAUAACUACUGGAAACGGUAGCUAAUACCGCAUACCAUCGGAUGUGCCCAGAUGGGAGUAGCUAGGAGGUGGGGUAACGGCUCACCUGGGAGACUAUCCCUAGCUGGUCUGAGAGGAUGACCAGCCGCACUGGAACUGGUACACGGUCCAGACUCCUACGUGAGGCAGCAGUGGGGAAUAGUGCGCAAUGGGCGCAAGCCUGAUGCAGCCGUGCCGCGUGUAUGAAGAAGGCCUUCGGGUUGUAAAGUACUUUCAGCGAGGAGGCGUUACUCGCAGAAGAGGCACCGACUAACUCCGUGCCAGCAGCCGCGGUAAUAC
rnacentral:rRNA from 1 species